GCGCAGCAGGCGCGAAAACUUCACACUGUGCGAAAGCACGAUGAGGGAAUCCCAAGUGCUUGCACGUAAGUGUAAGCUGUUUCUCUGUUUAAAACGCAGAGAGAGUAAGGGCUGGGUAAGACGGGUGCCAGCCGCCGCGGUAAUACCUGCAGCUCAAGUGGUGACCGUUAUUAUUGGGCCUAAAACGUCCGUAGCCGGUUUAAUAAAUGCCUGGGUAAAUCGUGUAGCUUAACUAUACGAAUUCCGGGUAGACUGUUAAACUCGAGACCGGGAGAAGUUAGAGGUACUCCUGGGGUAGAGGUGAAAUUCUGUAAUCCUAGGGGGACCACCAGUGGUGAAGGCGUCUAACUAGAACGGGUCUGACGGUGAGGGACGAAGCCCUGGGGCGCAAACGGGAUUAGAUACCCCCGUAGU
rnacentral:rRNA from 1 species